rfam:Ovis aries breed Texel chromosome 3, whole genome shotgun sequence.
UCCCUGGUGGCUCAGAUGGUAAAGCAUCUGCCUGCAAUGUGGGACACCCAGGUUUGAUCCCUGGCUCAGGAA